AUGGCCAUGGAGAGCGGCUCGGAGGCGGCGGCGGCGGCGGGCUACUACGGCGGCACCUGCGGGUGGGAGACGCCGAAGCGGGAGGAGUGCCGCAUCCUGGCGACGCUGCCCUGCCCCGCGGCGCCGAGGAAGGCCGCGGCCGACUUCGGCACGCCCCGGCGCCCGCCCAAGAACGGCUACUUCCAGCCGCCGGACCUCGAGGCCCUCUUCGCGCUCGCCCCGCGCCGGCAGGCCUCGUGCGCGUGA
rnacentral:rRNA from 1 species